rnacentral:SRP_RNA from 1 species
UGCAGCCGGGGAGAUAGCGGUGCCCUGUACCUGCAAUCCGCUACAGCAGGGGUGAUGCCGAACCGAGGCUGUGUUUCUGCGGAGCCGACCUUCAUAAGUGGCGUUGACGUCCGGGUCUUACGCAACAGAACUCUGUGAACCGUGUCAGGCUGGGAACAGAGCAGCACUAAGCAGACUCUUCUGUGUGCCGUGAGGUUGCCUGGAUUGAGUUAACUGUGAAGGUACCGUUCGUGGGGAGCAGUCAAAGGGAGGCGCACGG